GUGAACACGGAGCUUGCUCUGUGGGAUCAGUGGCGAACGGGUGAGUAACACGUGAGCAACCUGCCCCUGACUCUGGGAUAAGCGCUGGAAACGGCGUCUAAUACUGGAUAUGUGACGUGACCGCAUGGUCUGCGUUUGGAAAGAUUUUUCGGUUGGGGAUGGGCUCGCGGCCUAUCAGCUUGUUGGUGAGGUAAUGGCUCACCAAGGCGUCGACGGGUAGCCGGCCUGAGAGGGUGACCGGCCACACUGGGACUGAGACACGGCCCAGACUCCUACGGGAGGCAGCAGUGGGGAAUAUUGCACAAUGGGCGGAAGCCUGAUGCAGCAACGCCGCGUGAGGGAUGACGGCCUUCGGGUUGUAAACCUCUUUUAGCAGGGAAGAAGCGAAAGUGACGGUACCUGCAGAAAAAGCGCCGGCUAACUACGUGCCAGCAGCCGCGGUAAUACGUAGGGCGCAAGCGUUAUCCGGAAUUAUUGGGCGUAAAGAGCUCGUAGGCGGUUUGUCGCGUCUGCUGUGAAAUCCCGAGGCUCAACCUCGGGCCUGCAGUGGGUACGGGCAGACUAGAGUGCGGUAGGGGAGAUUGGAAUUCCUGGGGGUAGCGGUGGAAUGCGCAGAUAUCAGGAGGAACACCGAUGGCGAAGGCAGAUCUCUGGGCCGUAACUGACGCUGAGGAGCGAAAGGGUGGGGGAAGCAAACAGGGCUUAGAUACCCUGGUAGUCCACCCCGGUAAACGUUGGGG
rnacentral:rRNA from 1 species